rnacentral:lncRNA from 1 species
CUACAUCCGCCACUGCCUCUGUGCAUAGUAGAUGUCAAGUUGAUGAGUCUCACUCUUAGGGUUGGAACAUCGAGUAAUGGUGUUUGAUCUUCCACGUUUGGGGACUUUUGGUUGACAAAGAACCUUAGGCAUCUUCAUUAUAGUAAUAUCCUAAAUUGAUAGGUUUGGUAGGGCAAAUGAAUUGGAGAUGGCCAAGACCACACAAGUGGGAAGAAGUCGGAAUACAUAUUGCAAUACUAACAACUUGUCCUAAUUGUACCAAGAAAAUAAAAAAUAAAAAUAAAAAGCAAAGUGGUCCCAAAGGAGAGCCCAAAAAAUCCCCCAAAACAGUUUCUCUCUAGUUCCAGAUCUGAGAAUAGAAAUUCAAAUUCAAAAAAAUAGAAACAAUAGAAAACCAUCAAAAAAUAAAAAAAGUACUGUUCUAUUAGAAUUUUAGGUUAAUUUUGGCUUUUGGCUGGAUUUGUUGAUUUUCCAGUUCAGUUUUUGAUUGCUCUGGUUUCAAAGAUCUACUGGUUUGGUUUUGAUUGGUUUUGGUCUUUAUUGGGUUAUUCUGGGGUCAGCUCUUGGGUUUUAUGCUUCUGUGAAAUAUCCCGGUGCAUUUACAAGCAUAUCUGGGUACAUUCAAGUGAUUGUGGUCAAUUUCCAAGUUCUGUUUUGCUCUCAAAAUCUUCCUGAAUCGUUACCUGAUUUAGUGUGUGUUAUUGUUGCUGAUCUCUUCUUCUCCUUCACUGUAUUGUCAUUGCCAGGUACACACUUUGAGACUAUGUCAAUGUAUCUUCACUUGGUGAAAUCAUGAAAUGAAAUUGAAGCUGUAUAUCUGCUAAGGAACUGCAAUUUCAACCAUUCUGUUACAUUUUUGAUAGUUUCCUGUGAUAUAAUUAGUUGUUCACCGUAAUUGCUGAAAAGUGUAAUAGUUGGGGACUGUUAGCUUGAACUCAUUAGAUAAAUUUCUAUGAACAUGUAUUUAUGUGGUUUUCACUUGACUUAGUUCGUGUCAUUAAAAGUAGUAAGUCCAAAUUCAUAUUAAAUUAGAAAUAGAUGCUGGACGGUUUAGCUUGAUCGCUUGGUGAUAGUAUGGUGUAAUCAGAUUUGCUUGUAUGGUUUAACUUUUGAAAUUAGAAAAUAGCUUGAAUCAGAAAUGUGUUCGAGAUUUAUUCAGCAUAUGGGUCUUUGUUCACGUCCAUCAUGAUAACAGUUUGUUUUAAGUGACAAAGUCAGUAUUCAGCUUUAAAAUCAUGAA